rnacentral:rRNA from 1 species
UACGUAGGGUGCAAGCGUUAAUCGGAAUUACUGGGCGUAAAGCGUGCGCAGGCGGUUUUGUAAGUCUGUCGUGAAAUCCCCAGGCUUAACCUGGGAACUGCGUCGGAUACUGGAUGGCUUGAAUUCGGGAGAGGGAUGCAGAAUUCCAGGUGUAGCGGUGAAAUGCGUAGAUAUCUGGAGGAAUACCGGUGGCGAAGGCGGCAUCCUGGACCGACAUUGACGCUGAACGGCGAAAGCUAGGGGA